AGUGAACGCUGGCGGCAGGCCUAACACAUGCAAGUCGAACGGCAGCACCGGAGUUCUUGCUCUCUAGGUGGCGAGUGGCGGGCGGGUGACUAAUACAUCGGCUUCUGCUCAGUUUUGGGGGACUACAUAGGGAUACUUACGCUAAUACCUCAUACGUCCUUCUGUUGAAAGAGGGUGAUCGCAAGUCCUCUCGCGAUUGGUUGCUCCGAUGUCGUCUUCGCUUGUUUGGGGGGUUAUGUCCCCCAAAGGCGACGAUCCGUCUCUGGUCUGAGAGGAUGAUCAGCCACACUAGAACUGAGACACGGUCCAGACGCCUAAGGGAGGCAGCAGUGGGGAAUAUUGGACAAUGGGCGCAAGCCUGAUCCAGCCAGACCGCGUGGGUGAAGAAGGCCUUCGGGUUGUAAAGACCUUUUGUUGGGAAAGAAAGCCUUCAGGCUAAUACCCUGCGAGGGUGACGGUACCAAAAGAAUAAGCACCGGCUAACUUCGUG
rnacentral:rRNA from 1 species